CUUCUUACAUGAUGGGCUUAAGAAACGAGGACUAUAUCCAUAUAACAUCACUAUCUCCAUCCGGGCCCAACAUGGUUGAUAGCCCAAAUCCCCAAGUUCGCACUGAGAUGUGUCGAUGAAAGCGGAAAGGCGAACACCUUGUUGUAGCCUGGGCUCUCCUUCAUUCACUGCGACAACUCGCCAGGUUCUGAGUUGCUGGGUCACUCUGGCUUUGGACAUUAACUGAUGGAUGAGAAGACGCAUGGUUAAGAAAGAAACUGAAAAUGGAAAGAAUAGCAGAGUUUAUAAGGAACAUAGCGCAGCAGCAUGCCCAGGUGGUGCCUUUGACACUUUUCGUGGCUGUUUUGUGCCUUUGUUUGGUUAUCGGUCACUUGUUGGAAAACCGAUGGGUUAACUAGUCCAUCACUGCCAUCAUCAUCGGGAUGCACCUCUGGAACGUUUAUCUUGGUUCUGAGCAAUGGAAAAAGUGCCCAUAUCUUAAGAUUCAAUGAGGAGCUCUUCUUUAUAUAUCUUCUCCCACCUAUAAUAUUCAAUGCAGGGUGUCAAGAAAAAGCACUUCUUCCAGAACUUUAUAACCAUUAUGCUGUUUGGGGGCGGCCGGUGUUUUCAUUUCAGCAUUCAUUAUCGUAGCUGGUCCUUCACCAAGACGAGACUCCUUUAUUAUACAGCUUGGUCUUUGGGGAAGGAGUGGUAAAUGAAGCAACAUCGGUUGUUCUCUUCAAUGCAAUACAAAAGAUGGAUGUUACAAAGCUUAAUUCAAUGACAACCCUCCAUGUCAUUGGAGAUUUCUUUUACUUGUUCUUGACAAGCACUGCUGCGGGAGUCACAGUGAGUUUGGAUAUCUGAAUCUCUCAAAGCAGAUUAUGACAUUAACGUUUUCUUACUUUAGAGACUGGGCUUGUGACGGCAUAUAUACUUAAAACCUUAUAACUUGGAAGGUAAAUGCCUUUCCAAUUUGCCCUGGAAGAGUGAUAUUUCUUUCCAAAUUUUGGGGGCCAACUAUAGCAUCCUGAACUAACAUUUGUAUACAGGCAUUCGAGUAUUCGUGAAAUUUCUCUGAUGAUUUCAAUGGCGUAUCUGUCUUACAUGUUAGCAGAGGUAUCAUCUGCUUAGAAGUUCCUUAUUAGGUUAAUAAAUGACAAUUCAUAAUUUUUAUAUGGUAAAUCUAAACUACUGUUUUAUCAUCUAGCUGCUAGAAUUAAGUGGAAUUCUCACUGUGUUCUUUUGUGGGAUUCUUAUGUCUCAUUAUGCAUGGCAUAAUGUGACUGAAAGCUCACAAGUCACAACCAGGUACAUAUGUUGGAUGAUAAUGACUUCCGUUUUAUGCACUCAGAAGCUGAUUAUUCCAAAUGCUUUGGCCUUGCACUCUUCACUUAUCUACCUUUCUUCAGGCAUAUAUUUGCAAUGAUGUCAUAAGUCAUAUAUUGCAAAGACAUUCAUAUUUCUCUAUGUGGGCAUGGAUGCACUUGAUAUUGAGAAAUGGAAGUCGAGUAAGUUAAGGUACUACCUUACCAUCUAUUAUUCAGCUUACUCUUAGUUAGAAAUUGAGUUUUGAAAAUUCAAACAUCUUGGCAUGUCCAGUGUAACCUUGAGUGGUUGUCAAGUAUGUAAGGACGCCCUUGUAAACCAGUAUUUUUGUGGUGCUAAUUCACAUAUGAUUUAAUUUUCCAUUUGAAAAGAAACUAAAUAGAGAGACAUUUGAGUCUGUUGUGUUAUAUUUAAAGGAGGAAAUAUUUGUGCUGCCUAAUUUGCAGUUUUAGAACUUCAACGAGCAUCUGCAGUGCACUAAUGUUGCUAAUAUUGCUUGGAAGAGCUGGAUUCAUGUUUCCGCUCUCUGCCUUCUCCAAUUGCAUGAAUAGAGGAAGAAUGUCACCAAUUACUUUCAGACACCAAGUUAGUUCUUCUACAAGUGUUACAUUAACCUUUGUUUUCAUAUAAAGAGUAAGGAACUUCCAACCAUUGACAGUUGAUGAAUUUGAAACUUGUUAUAUAUUUAGAUAAUUAUUUGGUGGGCUGGCCUAAUGAGAGGGGCAGUCUCAAUUGCUUUGGCUUAUAAACAGUUCACAUAUUCUGGUUUACAUGGAAUCCAAUCUAUGUGCUGCAAUGAUAACCAACACCAUCAUUGUCGUCCUGUUCACCACAAUGGCAUGUGAAAAUCUAAAAUGUUUCCUUCUAUAAUCUUUGUCAGAAAAUUUGUAAGUCUAACUGAGCAAUCUGUUUGCAAAGAACUGGACGAUCAAAAGCAAUUGCUUUCUUUGAAAUCACUCUUAAAUUGCAUUUGACACUGUUAGUUCAUUAUCCUUGAAGUUUAAUUAAUAGCAUGGUUUUCAUUACAGGUGUUUGGUUUUCUGACAGAACCAUUAAUAGCUUAUAUGAUUCCACAAAAUGCAAAUAACCAAAACAAUCAUCAGGAAAUAAAGAUACCCAAAGAUGAUGCACGCCUACAUUUGCUCUCACUCGAAGAGUCAGCCGCAACCAACCUACAACGUGCAUCAGAAUGCUAAUAGAAAGCCCUGUCUAUACCAUACAUUACCACGGGAGGAAGUUUGAUAAUGCCUACAUGAGACCAGUAUUUGGGGGUCCUCUGAGCAGUCACUCAGAAUGCUAGGUAUAUGCUAAUGACCUUAUGUUGAUGCAGACCGAUUUAUAUUUUUGACGAGUUAUGCAGGAUGCUAGUAGUGGAGAUGCAUUAUUUCUCAGCUAAAACAGGUUAGUUUGCAAUUUGCAGAAUGCAGGCUUGGUUCCCAGUAUCAAACUUGUAAUUGUCAGUAAGGAGUAUGUGCCUCCUGUAAUACGAGUUGCAGUUGCUAAACAAGUUUAUUGAUUUUGGAGAUACAUGAAAAAUAAUAAUAUAAUCUAAAUAAAAAAUA
rnacentral:misc_RNA from 1 species